rnacentral:rRNA from 1 species
UACAGAGGGUGCGAGCGUUAAUCGGAAUUACUGGGCGUAAAGCGUGCGUAGACGGCUAUCUAAGUCGGGUGUGAAAGCCCCGGGCUCAACCUGGGAAUUGCAUUCGAGACUGAAUAGCUAGGGUACGGUAGAGGGAAGUGGAAUUUCCGGUGUAGCGGUGAAAUGCGUAGAUAUCGGAAGGAACAUCAGUGGCGAAAAGCGACUUCCUGACCAGUACCG